rnacentral:rRNA from 1 species
CCUACGGGUGGCAGCAGUGGGGAAUAUUGCACAAUGGGGGAAACCCUGAUGCAGCGACGCCGCGUGAGUGAAGAAGUAUUUCGGUACGUAAAGCUCUAUCAGCAGGGAAGAAAAUGACGGUACCUGACUAAGAAGCCCCGGCUAACUACGUGCCAGCAGCCGCGGUAAUACGUAGGGGGCAAGCGUUAUCCGGAUUUACUGGGUGUAAAGGGAGCGUAGACGGCAGCGCAAGUCUGAAGUGAAAUCCCAGGGCUUAACCAUGGAACUGCUUUGGAAACUGUGCGGCUGGAGUGCAGGAGAGGUAAGCGGAAUUCCUAGUGUAGCGGUGAAAUGCGUAGAGAUCAAGAGGAAUACUCAUUGCGAAGGCGACCUGCUAGACCAUAACUGACGCUGAGGCGCGAAAGCGUGGGGAGCAAACAGGAUUAGAUACCAUUGUAGUC